ensembl:lncRNA
UCCUAAUCUUUCUAAAAUACCCAGUAAGUACCCAGUAAUUGAUUCAGCCAUUUUUCUAUGCUGCUAAUGAUUAGCAACAUUAUCCAGUUUGGGUUUCUUUUAUUUCUUUUUGAGAAGGAGCUAAUAGACAGUGAGAUCAAUAAAGAAACAGUAGUUUGGUAGUAAAGUAAGUGAUGGGAAAGUCAUGAGCCACAAAGCAGAAAAAAUAUGUGUGUUAAAUAAUUGAGUCCUUUGUAGAGCUAACUUAUUAUCUGUUCUCUUCUGGUUUUAAUUAGUUUUGUGCACUUCUGUUUUCUGAGAACUAAAGCUUCCUCAGCUUUGGAAUAACUUGGGACUGUGACUACUUUUCAUAGUCUUUCCUCCAGUGCAAUCAACUAUGAUCCAAGUUUUUCUUUUUUCAGUUUGAACAAGAUAAAUUACUGUGCUUACUGGAUAAAAGGUGACAGACAGGUGAUGUUACAAAAAGGCAAUAGAUUAAAAAAAGGAACUCUGAAACAAAUGGAAUAACAUAAGGAGGAGUAGUUAAUGAGAUAGAGAAUAAUUUAAUAAGUCUGGAACUGAGAAUUUAGAAUACAAAGUAAAAUUAUGGUUAAUGCUUAAAGUUUCAGUCUGUUUAAUCUCAAGUAAUUGCUUUAGAAAUAUUACUCAUUUUCAUCUUAGCUAGAGGAACAUACUAAAAGAAGGGAAUACUUUAAUUACAAAUAUGCUUGUAUCCCUGCUGUAGUGAAGGAUGUCUACUUUGAAAAGUCCCAUGCCCCGUGUCUCCCACAAGAAAUGCACAAAAACUGACAUAUGCUUAAGGGAAUUUUUCAUCUCGUGCAGUUAGGUUGAAUCUGCAGCUCUCUUAGGGAAACCACAGUUCUGGGAAUUUUCUGACUUUUUGUGGGGUAUUCAGACUGGUCUUCAUGACUGGAAUGAACCUCCAGUGCCCAAAACAACUCUCAGAAAUGACCUUUUAGGUUUAUUUAAAUAGAGUGAUUGAGACUGAUCUGUUUCUUUUUUAAAAUUUAUUUUAUUGAAGUAUAUUUGUUUUACAAUGUUGUGUUAGUCUCUGCUGUACAGCAGAAUGAUUCAGUUAUGUGUAUGAUAUAUAUACAUACACACAUAUUUUUCAGAUUCUUUUCCAUUGUGGUAUUUUCUUUUUUUUGUCUUUUUAGGGCUGCACUCAUGGUGUAUGGAUGUUCCCAGGCUAUGUAGGGGUCAAAUCGGAGCUGCAGCUGCUGGCCUACACCACAGACACAGCAAUGCCAGAUCCGAACCAUGUCUGCUACCUACACCACAGCUCAUGGCAACUCCACAUCCUUAACCCACUGAGUGAGGCCGGGAACUGAGCAUGCAACCUCAUGGUUCCUAGUCAGAUUCGUCUCUGCUGUGCCAUGACUGGAACUCCGAGAUUGCUUUUCACUAUGGUUUAUCAUGCAAUGCUGAAUUUCGUUCCCUGUGCUGUACGCUAGGAUCUUGUCAUUCAUCAAUCCUGCAUCAACCAACCCCAGACUCCCAGUCUAUCCCUCUGAUCUGUUUUUUAUUCAUAGGCUAGUUUGAACUUGAUAUAGGAGCUUGAUCCUAAAUUGACCAAGAUAUAGAGAAGAGAGGCUAUAUUGGCAUCAAGAUUCUAGAAGAUAGAAUCCUCAAAUCAAAAGAAUUCUUUUCUUCCUUCAUUGUACAUACAUUGGUUUCUAUUUUGCCUGGAGCUUAGAGUAGUGUGGAAUCUAACUUGGUACCAAUUAUGGUUUGUGCAAAUGAACAUGACUGUUUGGGAAAAAUAAUGUCCUAUACUAUUAUAAGAAUUCUAAGAUGAAGAGUCAUUUUGGAAGUGAAGAAAUAUUUUAUUAUUAGCACAGUCUGGCAGCAUUUUGUUUACCAUAAAAGUCAAAGAAACAGUUUUAUAUUGUGUCAGCGCUUUUGAGAUCAUAGACUAUGUAAGGUUUAUAAAGUUAAGGGAGGUCGUGAACAGAGUGAAUAAUCAGGUGAAUUACACCUAGCAUUGCCUUUAAGUUGAUGUGGUAUGAUAUGGUGGUUAGGACCGUAUCGCAUUUGGGUUUAAAUCCCAGCGUUACCAUUUAUUUGUUAGUGAUGAGGUUUUGGGCAAGUGAGUCUUCUUAAGUUCUUAUUAGCUGCUUUGUUUGUUUUUGUCGGGUGCAGAGUAGAGAUGAGGUGGCCUUGAGAUACUCAUAUGAAUAUUAGUAUCCUGGUAGAGUACUGAUGUCAGUGUCACCAAAGUAUUUUUUAAAGCCACUUAGCUUUCUAUUCCCUCUCAUGGUCCUGACCUAAGAGGUGAGGUUAAAAACAGACAGACAAAUGUGGGUCAGUAUUUUCUUUGAUUCAGAGGAGUUCAAGGAAAUAGUAUAAAAUAAACGUUUAAAUGCUCACAUUUAGCUUCACAGAUAAGCCUUGAAAUAAUAACAUCCAUUUUGAAAUUUCAAAAUUAAAGAUUAAAUUUAGUUAGCCUUGGGUGGAAGUUUGGAGUUUUGGAAUUUGUUGGAAUCGCGCAGCCCCUGGAAGGUUGUUGAGGCCGCCCUGACUCAGUGCCCUGCCAGUAGAUCAGGUUAAUGGGGGCUGCUGGGACAGUGACUGGAAUGUAUUCUUCCCUAGUGAUAACUGUGGUUCAUGAGAGGGAAAGACGGGUAUUAGCUUUCUAAGCAGUCUGCGGUGUCUGGAAAUACAGGGGACAUUUUCUACCAGUGUUUGUUAAUAUUUGUUGGUGUCACCGAGGGUUAUAUGUAAGCUCUUAAGUGUUACUGUGUUAUGCCCUCGUACAUAUUUUUAAGAUUCUUUACUAAUCAACAAUAUAGUUAACUAGUGGUUAACUUUUUUUUUUUUUUUUUAUGUAUACCAGCAACAUGCAGAAGUUCUUAGACCAGGGAUCAUACCUGAGCCACAGCAGUGACAUCGCCAAGUCCUUAACUGCUAGACCACCAGGGAAUUCUGACAGCAGUUAACUUUUGCAACAAGGUUUUCCUUAUGAACCAUUCAUCUCCCUUAAAUAUGUCUAUGUCUUUUGACAUGUAAAUCCCUAAAUGACUUAGUUUUAAUCACCAGACUAAAAUCUAUAUUAAGGAAAAUCAAAUUUGAUGGAGACAUUUUAUGUGUACUACUACUACUAGUGUAUGUUAAAACUACUUUGAUUAUCCCUCUUUCAGUUGAAAAGGAACGUUGAUAGCAAUUGUUCAAAAACAUAUUUGAAAUUUUUAUAUUAAGUUGGGUAUAAUUUAAUUGGAUUAAAUGGAACAAUAUGUAUAUUCAGCAGAUAAUUUAAAAUUUAUGUGCCUGAAAAAUGGUUAUUGGUAGACAUCUUUUUUUUUUUUUAAAUCUGUUUUUUUUUAGGGCCAUACCCACAGCAUAUGGAGAUUCCCAGUUAGGGGUCUAAUUGAAGCUACGGCUGCCAGCCUACACCAGUCGUAGCAGUGCCAAAUUUGAGCCGCAUUUGUGACCUACACCACAGCUCACAACAAUGCUGUAUCCUUAACCCACAGAGCGAGGCCAGGGAUCAAACCUAUGUCCUCAAAGAUGCUGGCAGAUUCGUUUCUGCUGAGCCAUGACGGAAACUCCUGUUCUGCCCCUUUUUGUUUCACAUAUGUUCCCACUCCAGCUGUGAAAGGCAUCUCUGCAUCUCUCUCCCGACUUUGCUUCUCUCAUAGAUGAUUUUAGACCUUUGCUAUUGAUGUGCCCAGACUGGAACAUUU